AUUGAACGCUGGCGGCAGGCCUAACACAUGCAAGUCGAACGGUCACAGGAAGAACCUUGCUUCUUUGCUUACGCGUGGCGCACGUGUGUGUAAUGUCGGGAACACUGCCUUAUGGCUGGGGUUACCUACUGGAAACGGUGCCUAAUCCCGCAUAACGUCUCAACACCAUGAUUCAGAACUUCAGGCCUCUUUCCCUCUCACUUACCCAUGUGGGAUUAGCUAGUAGGUUGGGUAACGGCUCACCUAGGCGACGAUGCAUAGCUGGGCUGAGAGGAUGAGCAGCCACACUGGAACUGAGACACGGUCCAGACUCCUACGGGAGGCAGCAGUGGGGAAUAUUGCACAAUGGGCGAAAGCCUGAUGGAGCAAUGCCGCGUGUAUGAAGAAGGCCUUCGGGUUGUAAAGUACUUUCAGCAGGGAGGAAGGGAGUAAAGUGAAUAUGUGUGCUCAUUGACGUUACCUGAAGAAGAAGCACCGGCUAACUACGUG
rnacentral:rRNA from 1 species